rnacentral:rRNA from 1 species
UGGGGAAUAUUGCACAAUGGAGGAAACUCUGAUGCAGCAACGCCGCGUGAGUGAAGAAGUAUUUCGGUAUGUAAAGCUCUAUCAGCAGGGAAGAUAAUGACAGUACCUGACUAAGAAGCCCCGGCUAACUACGUGCCAGCAGCCGCGGUAAUACGUAGGGGGCAAGCGUUAUCCGGAUUUACUGGGUGUAAAGGGAGCGUAGACGGCAGAGCAAGUCUGAAGUGAAAAUCCGGGGCUUAACCCCGGAACUGCUUUGGAAACUGUUUAGCUAGAGUGUCGGAGAGGUAAGUGGAAUUCCUGGUGUAGCGGUGAAAUGCGUAGAUAUCAGGAAGAACACCGGAGGCGAAGGCGGCUUACUGGACGAUAACUGACGUUGAGGCUCGAAAGCGUGGGAAGCAAACAGGAUUAGAUACCCUGGUA